UACGAAGGUGGCAAGCGUUGUUCGAAUUUACUGGGCGUACAGGGAGCGUAGGCGGUUGGAUAAGCCCUCCGUGAAAUCUCCAGGCUUAACCUGGAAAGUGCAGAGGGGACUGUUCAGCUAGAGGAUGGGAGAGGAGCGCGGAAUUCCCGGUGUAGCGGUGAAAUGCGUAGAGAUCGGGAGGAAGGCCGGUGGCGAAGGCGGCGCUCUGGAACAUUUCUGACGCUGAGGCUCGAAAGCGUGGGGAGCAAACAGG
rnacentral:rRNA from 1 species